UACGUAGGGGGCUAGCGUUGUCCGGAAUCAUUGGGCGUAAAGAGCGUGUAGGCGGCCCGGUAAGUCCGCUGUGAAAGUCGGGGGCUCAACCCUCGAAUGCCGGUGGAUACUGUCGGGCUAGAGUGCGGAAGAGGCGAGUGGAAUCCUGGUGUAGCGGUGAAAUGCGCAGAUAUCAGGAGGAACACCGAUUGCGAAGGCAGCUCGCUGGGACGUAACUGACGCUGAGACGCGAAAGCGUGGGGAGCAAACAGG
rnacentral:rRNA from 1 species